rnacentral:tRNA from 1 species
GGUCCCGUGGUCCAGCGGCAAGACGCCGGCCCGACAUGCCGGUAAUGAUGGUUCGACUCCAUCCGGGAUCA